rnacentral:misc_RNA from 1 species
CAACUGCGAUAAAUAAUGUGAACUGCAGAUAUUUUGAACAUUGAAAAUUCGAAUGCACAUUGCGCCAUUGGAAUUAUAUCCUUUGGCACAUCUGGCUCAGGGUCGUUUAUAAAAAAACGAAUGCUUCUUUCGUUCAGCCUAUUGGUAGCUAGAUCAUGAUGAACUCCGCUAGCCGGGUGUUGUCCCGGCCAUGUUAGGCUGGCAGCCCGAGAGAUUUGUCGUGUUCUUGCUUAAAUUGUAGAUAACCCGUAGAAUGGCCGGUGGUUGUGUCGGUGGAUCAUAGUGGAUCAGCUACUCGAUUCCAAGAUCCCCUUCGCACCGCCACCAUCGCCGGGACUCGAUUUAUCGACCUGAGCUCAGAUGUGAGUACCUGCUGAACUUAA